rnacentral:rRNA from 1 species
CGAGGGGAGUGAAAAAGAACCUGAAACCGUGUACGUACAAGCAGUGGGAGCACAGGUUUACCUGUGUGACUGCGUACCUUUUGUAUAAUGGGUCAGCGACUUAUAUUCUGUAGCAAGGUUAACCGAAUAGGGGAGCCGGAGGGAAACCGAGUCUUAAUUGGGCGUUAAGUUGCAGGGUAUAGACCCGAAACCCGGUGAUCUAGCCAUGGGCAGGUUGAAGGUUGGGUAACACUAACUGGAGGACCGAACCGACUAAUGUUGAAAAAUUAGCGGAUGACCUGUGGCUGGGGGUGAAAGGCCAAUCAAACCGGGAGAUAGCUGGUUCUCCCCGAAAGCUAUUUAGGUAGCGCCUCGUGAAUUCAUCUCCGGGGGUAGAGCACUGUUUCGGCUAGGGGGCCAUCCCGGCUUACCAACCCGAUGCAAACUGCGAAUACCGGAGAAUGUUAUCACGGGAGACACACGGCGGGUGCUAACGUCCGUCGUGAAGAGGGAAACAACCCAGACCGCCAGCUAAGGUCCCAAAGUCAUGGUUAAGUGGGAAACGAUGUGGGAAGGCCCAGACAGCCAGGAUGUUGGCUUAGAAGCAGCCAUCAUUUAAAGAAAGCGUAAUAGCUCACUGGUCGAGUCGGCCUGCGCGGAAGAUGUAACGGGGCUAAACCAUGCACCGAAGCUGCGGCAGCGAACGUAUCACCCAAGACAACUUUACGGAGUUGACGAUUGACGGAGCGAAGCGACGUCAAAGCGU